UGCGCAGGCGGGCUUGUAAGUCAGUGGUGAAAUACUGCCGCUUAACGGUAGGACUGCCAUUGAUACUGCAAGUCUUGAAUAUGGUUGAGGUAGGCGGAAUGUGUCGUGUAGCGGUGAAAUGCAUAGAUAUGACACAGAACGCCAAUUGCGAAGGCAGCUUACUAAGCCAUUAUUGACGCUGAGGCACGAAAGCGUGGGGAGCGAACAGGAUUAGAUACCCUGGUAGUCC
rnacentral:rRNA from 1 species